rnacentral:rRNA from 1 species
AUUGAACGCUGGCGGCAGGCCUAACACAUGCAAGUCGAACGGUAACAGGAAGCAGCUUGCUGCUUCGCUGACGAGUGGCGGACGGGUGAGUAAUGUCUGGGAAACUGCCUGAUGGAGGGGGAUAAUUACUGGAAACGGUAGCUAAUACCGCAUAACGUCGCAAGACCAAAGAGGGGGACCUUAGGGCCUCUUGCCAUCGGAGGUGCCCAGGUGGGAUUAGCUAGUAGGUGGGGUAACGGCUCACCUAGGCGACGAUGGCUAGCUGGUCUGAGAGGAUGACCAGCCGCAUUGGAACUGAGACACGGUCCAGGCUCCUGCGGGAGGCAGCAGUGUGGAAUAUUGCACAAUGGUCGCAAGCCUGAUGCAGCCGUGCCGCGUGUAUGAAGAAGGCCUUCGGGUUGUAAAGUACUUUCAGCGGGGAGGAAGGGAGUAAAGUUAAUACCUUUGCUCAUUGACGUUACCCGCAGAAGAAGCACCGGCUAACUUCGUG